rnacentral:rRNA from 1 species
GAGUUUGAUCCUGGCUCAGAACGUACGCUGGCGGCACGCCUAACACAUGCAAGUCGAGCGAGGUAGCAAUACCUAGCGGCAGACGGGUGCGUAACAUGUGGGAAUCUGCCUUUUGGCUCGGAAUAACACGGGGAAACCUGUGCUAAUACCGGAUAAGUCCUUACGGAGAAAGUUUUAAUGCCAAAAGAUGAGCCCGCAUUUGAUUAGUUUGUUGGUGAGGUAAUGGCUCACCAAGACUACAAUCAAUAGCUGAUUUGAGAGGAUGAUCAGCCACACUGGGACUGAGAUACGGCCCAGACUCCUACGGGAGGCAGCAGUGGGGAAUCUUGCACAAUGGGCGAAAGCCUGAUGCAGCGAUGCCGCGUGAGUGAAGAAGGCCUUUGGGUUGUAAAGCUCUUUUGUCGGGAAAGAUAAUGACUGUACCCGAAGAAUAAGGUCCGGCUAACUUCGUGCCAGCAGCCGCGGUAAUACGAAGGGACCUAGCGUAGUUCGGAAUUACUGGGCGUAAAGAGUAUGUAGGCGGCUAGAUAAGUUAAUUGUGAAAGCCCAAAGCUUAACUUUGGAAUUGCAAUUAAAACUAUUUAGCUAGAGUAUGAUAGAGGAAAGCGGAAUACAUAGUGUAGAGGUGAAAU